rnacentral:rRNA from 1 species
CAGUAGCCACGGUAAUACGUAGGGUGCAAGCGUUAAUCGGAAUUACUGGGCGUAAAGCGUGCGCAGGCGGUUAUAUAAGACAGAUGUGAAAUCCCCGGGCUCAACCUGGGAACUGCAUUUGUGACUGUAUAGCUAGAGUACGGCAGAGGGGGAUGGAAUUCCGCGUGUAGCAGUGAAAUGCGUGGAUAUGCGGAGGAACACCGAUGGCGAAGGCAAUCCCCUGGGCCUGUACUGACGCUCAUGCACGAAAGCGUGGGGAGCAAACAGGAUUAGAUACCCCCGUAGUCCCUGUCUCUUAUAC